CUCACCCAAGCACAACUACUGGGGAGAUUGCAAGAGGAUAGCAAGUUGAAGGUCAACUUGAUCAACUAAGCAAGAUCCCAUCUCAAAAUAAAAUUUUUAAAAAGAAAAAUCAUUCCUUAGACUGCCAAGAGGCUGCUCGCAGACAUAGGUUAUAUUAAACAGGUGGUUGGUCUGCAGUUAAAGCUUGUUCAUGGCUGGCUGCAGCGUACUGAGUCCUGUG
rnacentral:lncRNA from 1 species